GUUGAAAUACCAGUUCUCACGUGGUCACCGAAGUUAAGCAACAUCGAGCCUAGUCAGUAAUUAAAUGAGUGACUGCUUGUGAACACCAGGUGCUGCAG